UACGUAGGGGGCGAGCGUUGUCCGGAUUUAUUGGGCGUAAAGAGCUCGUAGGCGGUUCGGUAAGUCGGGUGUGAAACCUCCAGGCUCAACCUGGAGUCGCCACUCGAUACUGCUGUGACUAGAGUCCGGUAGGGGAGAGUGGAAUUCCUGGUGUAGCGGUGAAAUGCGCAGAUAUCAGGAAGAACACCCGUGGCGAAGGCGGCUCUCUGGGACGGUACUGACGCUGAGGCGCGAAAGCGUGGGGAGCGAACAGG
rnacentral:rRNA from 1 species